rnacentral:sRNA from 1 species
CCAUUUGCUCUACGAGUAACGGUUAUAAAAAUUGUGCUUAUCUAGUGGAUAGUGGGCGAAAGCGGCUACUAUGUACGCACGAAACAAUUAAAAUCUAAAACGGUGUCCGAUCUUGAGGAAGGGUAAAGGGAAAAAAAUUGAGAUAAUAAUGCUGGUAUGACGAUAUAUGUAUUUUACAAAAUAUAUUUAUUGGUCUGAUUCAAAACAUUAUUGUAGCGCCCUGGAUAUACUUAUGUAUCCAGCUAGAUAUAGGAAACUUCAGUUCUUAUGUUGUUGUUAUACCCGUGUAAAUCUGGUCUUGUCCAUCUUACCGUCUAUAUGAACGCCCAGUUAUAAGAUACAUUUAAGAUAUAUUAUAAGAAUGCAGAUUUUUGUGAUGUGAUGUGAUGUUUGUUCCAACGCCCGGACUAACGCAACUGUCACGCUCGAGAAACUCGAGAAGACCGUUCUCUCUUGUUGAGAGUAUUUAGAGUUCAGUCUGAAGCUUGCAAAGUUUCGUGCGUUCGCAAAGUCUUCUCGAUGGCUUUCUGUCUUGUUUUAUUUUUAUUUUUCCAACCGUUCAAUUUUAAAAAGUCCAUAUAUGAUAUAUGGCUGUGAAUUCUUAUGGUGAAUUCUGGUUUGAAGCGCUAUUAUCUAGUAUUGACUAGCUUACAAUCGCCAUCUACGAUGUUUUACCUUCAAACGAAUUUGCAUGCGAGUUAUUGGCUUAAGUGAUUUUGAAGGUAUCAACAACUGUACACUAAAACACAAAUGACAUGUGCUAGUGCAGCGUACUCGGGUGCAAUUACUCGCACACACAGUAUUUAAGUUGUCAUCGGAGCCAGAGUUACCAUUAAAUAGGUAUAAUGCAGUUGGGAAAACGCAUUUCAGAUAAUUGUUCAGUCGAACUGGGCUUGGUAAUUACCUGGCUCGUUAGGGUUUUUUUCCCUUUGUUGUCAUCGUAGUAAUUUGUAUAUGUUCUGAGCGACCGCACGGAAUCCCUAAUAAGUAUAACCUGGGCUAGAGUUUUAUACGUACACAUGUAAGUGCGUAAGCUGUGCCGUUGUUAUCGGAGCUCGAAUACCGGAAAGUCAAAUAUACAUAUAAUAUAUUUCAAAAACGUUCAUCUCUCGUACUCUGUAAUAUAAUACAAGUUUCAAUUUAUGCCAUCGCGGUAAGAAACUGAGGGGCCGAGACUCCAGCAAAGGCGGUACUCCUUAAGGUGCUCUGAAGCAAUACGAGCCCAAAGAUUCUAUAAGGGUGGUGGUAAGGGAAGGUGCAAUCACCAAGUACAAUACACAAUCGAGAUCCAGCAUAAAAAGUUGCGAAUAUAAAACAAAAGUGUCACUCGCCGUGGGUCUGGAGGUACCAGACGAUGUCCGAGGCUGAGCUUGCAUUGUUAUUCCCCUUUGUCGCUGUCUGUGCUUGUGUUGAUUUGUUUUUAGAAGUAUUUAUGCAUGUAUGUGAAUAAAUGUAUGUAUAUGUGGCCAUUUGAUUCUGCCCGAGUCCCACAAUCAUUCAUUUCGGUAAGAUCAAUGAAUCGAUACGAUACGAUAUACCUGGGGAGGCCGAGAACAGCGACAAAAAGGAAGCCAAAGCGAAAGCUAAGCAGUAUGAGUUCCUGGGAUCGAGACGAGAUCACAAAGUUUCACUUGAUGAACUGUUUUAAAAAUUUAAGAAAGGAGUACAGAAAAAGGGCAAUAAAUUUACUUUUAGCGUUCAUUAAAAUUGUAGCCGAUUGUUUUCGCCGCAUGAAUAUGUUAAUUGCAGGAUUGCCAGACACAACGAACCAUAAUAACGAGGUAACGAAUGCCGGCGAAGUUGGAGUGCUGCGUCGUAGUCCACUUCGAUUCAAUUUAAAAAAAAUUUUUUAAGUUAAUACUCGUUUAUGAAAACAUACAUAGUGGCAGUUCACAGUCUGAAUAACUAUGAAAAUACCAAAGACCAGUACGCAAACGGCAUGAAUACGAGGAUUUCGAAAGGAAUAGAAAUUUGGACUCAAAGAACCAGUAAAGGGCAUCAGAAAAGAAGUAUAACAGCAAUAAUAAAACUGAAAACACAAAUAUAUACACACGCAUAUAUACAAUAUCAAAAGAAGACAAAAACAAAGAUGACGAAAAAUGUAUUGUAUUUUAUUAAAGGAAUUGUUUUCUGUGCCUCAUUUUUCUCAGAACAAAGUGAUGUAUGAGCUCCAUAGGCUAAACACAAUACGCAUUUUGUGAGUAAAGACUGGUACGGGACGGGAGUCGCAUUGCAUUGGGGAUUGUGACUCUGGCUAGUUUGAAGACAGAGCAGGCGGGAAGACAGCGGUCGCGCUGUUAAGCCGUUAAAUCGGGUCGACAGUGUUUGGUGGACACUUGGUAACUAUGUGGCCGUACAGCCUCUCCGUGAGUUGCAGACCAGCGGCCCAAUUGUUGAAGCUAACAAAAUUGGUAUAAUGAAUAUUUUGAUGAUAAUGAUCUUCUAAAAGGUAUAUUCAGGCACACAACAUAGUUGUGUUCUACACAUUCCCGUUACUCGUAGAGUAAAAGGGUAUAUUAGAUGCGUUGA